CCCACGCUACGCUCCCCUCGCCUAUCCUCCCCUCAAUCAAAAACCAACAAUAAUUAAUCCGCCACCUCUCCCAUUACCUCAAAAAUUGAAAACGACCCAAAACGAAUAAAUUGCAGAGAAAACGAAUAAAAGAAAGAUGCCUAUAAGUGAAAAUCAAAUAAUUUUGCAAGUCAUUGUAAAAUUUCUUUUCAGAACCCAACGUUUGAAACCCAGAAGACCUGAAAGAGGGCUAGAAAAUUAGAACAAAACCAGUUCCAUUUUCUAAGAUUUCGAAUCUUCAUUUUAACAGAGAAAGUAUACAACCCCAUGUCGAUACUAAGAAAAAAAGAAAUCAAAAUUGGGAUUUGGGACCUAGGAUUGGAGAAGGAGAAACGGCAAGAGGCGAAUAAUGGGAGAGGACGGAUGCGACGGGCGGCGAGUGGCGGAGAAGAACAGAAGGUAGAAGUCCUCAUGAUGGACAUAAGAGAUUUGGAAAAGAAACCACAACAAGCCAUUUUCCUGCUGUUUUGUGUCGCCACUAUCAGCAAGCAAAUCAUUCAAAUCUGCAGACUGAGGAAGUGGCGUGCGUGGGGGUGGGGGUAGGUUUUUUGUUUUGUUUUUGAUUUAAGUUUUUUAAUUGUUUAAUGCAGUGAACAGAAAGUUACAAUUUUGCCAUUUUAAAAUUGAUUAAAAUGUGGUCAAAAUUAUUUUGAUGGUGAGCUGAUGGAAUUUUUUAUAGAAACCAUCUAAAAGGGCAUCACAUGCAAUGUUUAAAAAGGUUAGGGGUG
rnacentral:lncRNA from 1 species